rnacentral:rRNA from 1 species
UACGUAGGGUGCGAGCGUUGUCCGGAAUUAUUGGGCGUAAAGAGCUCGUAGGCGGUUCGUCGCGUCGGCUGUGAAGUCCCGAGGCUCAACCUCGGGUCUGCAGUCGAUACGGGCGGACUGGAGUUCGGCAGGGGAGACUGGAAUUCCUGGUGUAGCGGUGAAAUGCGCAGAUAUCAGGAGGAACACCGGUGGCGAAGGCGGGUCUCUGGGCCGAUACUGACGCUGAGGAGCGAAAGCGUGGGGAGCGAACAGG